CAGCAGCCGCGGUAAUACGUAGGUCCCGAGCGUUGUCCGGAUUUAUUGGGCGUAAAGCGAGCGCAGGCGGUUAGAUAAGUCUGAAGUUAAAGGCUGUGGCUUAACCAUAGUACGCUUUGGAAACUGUUUAACUUGAGUGCAAGAGGGGAGAGUGGAAUUCCAUGUGUAGCGGUGAAAUGCGUAGAUAUAUGGAGGAACACCGGUGGCGAAAGCGGCUCUCUGGCUUGUAACUGACGCUGAGGCUCGAAAGCGUGGGGAGCAAACAGGAUUAGAUACCCGCGUAGUCCCUGUCUCUUAUACC
rnacentral:rRNA from 1 species